GGUGAACGCUGGCGGCGUGGAUGAGGCAUGCAAGUCGAAUGGGUUUAGACCCAUGGCAGACGAGGUAGGAACACGUAGGUACAAACCCAAAGUCAGGGAUAACCCGGUGAAAAUCGGAAUAAUACUUGAUAGUCUCUUCGGAGUAAAAAUUUAUUGCUUUGGGAUUGGCCUGCGGGCUAUCAGCUUGUUGGUGAGGUAACUGCUCACCAAGGCUACGACGGCUAGGGGAGGUGAGAGCCUGACCCCCACCGAUGGAACUGCGACACGGUCCAU
rnacentral:rRNA from 1 species